rnacentral:rRNA from 1 species
GACGAACGCUGGCGGCGUGCCUAACACAUGCAAGUCGAACGAGAUCCAUGGGAGCUUGCUCCCGGAAGAUCUAGUGGCGAACGGGUGAGUAACACGUGAGAAACCUGCCCUGGAGUGGGGAAUAACUCGGGGAAACUCGAGCUAAUACCGCAUACCCUCGGAUGGUCGCAUGGCCGACCGAGGAAAGAUUUAUCGCUCUAGGAGGGUCUCGCGGCCUAUCAGCUAGUUGGUGGGGUAACGGCCUACCAAGGCAACGACGGGUAGCUGGUUUGAGAGAACGAUCAGCCACACUGGGACUGAGACACGGCCCAGACUCCUACGGGAGGCAGCAGUGGGGAAUCUUGCGCAAUGGGCGAAAGCCUGACGCAGCAACGCCGCGUGCGGGAUGACGGCCUUCGUGGUUGUAA